AUUGAACGCUGGCGGCAUGCCUUACACAUGCAAGUCGAACGGCAGCACGGGAGCAAUCCUGGUGGCGAGUGGCGAACGGGUGAGUAAUAUAUCGGAACGUGCCCGGUCGUGGGGGAUAACGUAGCGAAAGCUACGCUAAUACCGCAUACGAUCUACGGAUGAAAGCGGGGGAUCGCAAGACCUCGCGCGAUUGGAGCGGCCGAUAUCAGAUUAGGUAGUUGGUGAGGUAAAGGCUCACCAAGCCGACGAUCUGUAGCUGGUCUGAGAGGACGACCAGCCACACUGGGACUGAGACACGGCCCAGACUCCUACGGGAGGCAGCAGUGGGGAAUUUUGGACAAUGGGCGCAAGCCUGAUCCAGCAAUGCCGCGUGCAGGAUGAAGGCCUUCGGGUUGGUUAAAGGUACGU
rnacentral:rRNA from 1 species